rnacentral:lncRNA from 1 species
UUAACAGCCCAGUUUUGCAGAUGUAUGAAGUUAGGAGACAUUUUUGAAAUAAAAGGGGAUCCUUCUGAGGAGCUCAGUUAACCAGAGGAGAUUAACUUUCUCCUCCAGUGGAAGCUCAGCAUGUUGGGGACUUGAUUUUUGGCGAUAUCGCUCAGCAAUAACAAGUGGACUUCACAGCAGACACUGCUGGUACAGUUUUCAGGCUUCUUGGUUCAUAUGCCUCCCUCACUGAGAUUGGGAUUGCCAUGAGAGUUGUUGCUUCAGUUGUGUCUAACUAUGCAUCUGCUGAGGUGAAUGGAAGCUAAGGCAAGUCAGCAUGGAAGGCUUCAAAAGACCUCACCCAGGAAACAGUAAUUUACUUUAAAAGAGGGCUACAGAUUCUAUUGCUUCAGGAUUUACGUGAAGAAACAUCUGAUUUUUUGGAUAUUUUUGUUGAUUAAGCUUAUGUGUCUGAUACUUGAUUUAAUUGAAGAAAUGAUCAUGCAAUAGAAAAUGACAGUACACUCAGACAAACUAAUUUAAGUGCUCUCAUAAAGAGAAUCCACAGAAAAUUUCCUUAAUUUGUAUUCAGCCUGAAAGCGCCUAACAUUAAAAUAUUAAGCAGAAAUCACUAGAUGUUUACUGUCAAAGAUAAGCUGAAAUACCACACUUAGCACAAAUACUCUGUAACCUAUGGUAUAUUAAGUAUAAUAAAUACUAAUCACUCAAAUUUACUCUUUCUGUA